GACGAACGCUGGCGGUGGGCCUAACACAUGCAAGUCGAACGGAAAGGCCCUACUUGCGUGGUGUGACCGAGUGCCGAACGCGUGCGGAACACGUGAGUAACCUGCUCUUCACUUUGGGGUAACUUCAGGAAAGUGGGGUUACUACCGUAUAGCAUCCCCCGUAGCAUGGUGGGGGGUGGAAAGUCUCGGCGGUUGGGGAUGAAAUCGCCGCUUAGCGGCUUGUUGGUGGGGUGGUGGCUUACCAAGGCUUUGACGGGUCGCCGGCCUGAGAGGGUGACCGGCCACAUUGGGACUGAGAUACGGCCCAGACUCCUACGGGAGGCAGCAGUGGGGAAUAUUGCACAAUGGGCGGAAGCCUGAUGCAGCAACGCCGCGUGCGGGAUGACGGCCUUCGGGUUGUAAACCGCUUUCGCCUGUGACGAAGCGUGAGUGACGGUAAUGGGUAAAGAAGCACCGGCUAACUACGUG
rnacentral:rRNA from 1 species